GACGAACGCUGGCGGCGUGCUUAACACAUGCAAGUCGAACGCUGAAGCUCAGCUUUUGUUGGGUGGAUGAGUGGCGAACGGGUGAGUAACACGUGAGUAACCUGCCUCCUUCUUUGGGAUAACGCCCGGAAACGGGUGCUAAUACUGGAUAUUCACUGGUCUUCGCAUGGGGGUUGGUGGAAAGGGUUUUUCUGGUGGGGGAUGGGCUCGCGGCCUAUCAGCUUGUUGGUGGGGUGAUGGCCUACCAAGGCUUUGACGGGUAGCCGGCCUGAGAGGGUGACCGGUCACAUUGGGACUGAGAUACGGCCCAGACUCCUACGGGAGGCAGCAGUGGGGAAUAUUGCACAAUGGGCGCAAGCCUGAUGCAGCGACGCCGCGUGAGGGAUGGAGGCCUUCGGGUUGUGAACCUCUUUCGCUCAUGGUCAAGCCGCAACAAUGGUUGUGGUGAUGGUAGUGGGUAAAGAAGCGCCGGCUAACUACGUG
rnacentral:rRNA from 1 species